rnacentral:lncRNA from 1 species
CAGUCCAUAGAUGCUGUGAGAGAGACAAAAUCAUCAUCUUCUGGCCAAAAAGAGUGUGGGACUGAACCGAGGCUUAGGACUUUGCAGCUGAAAUAGAAAACUGUUUCCCCAAGUAGUAAAGGGUCCCACCCUCUGUGGCCAGGCAUCCAGCAUAUCCUCCCGGCAACUGUGCAGCUCCGGUCCUUCACACACCUUCACCUGGCUGUGGUGUCUUCCCUGUGGAAAUGAAGUCAGAAGGAGCCAGCCUCGGUGACUUCCUGCCCCGGGAAUGGCUGGGACUUCUCAUCAGCUCUAGCCUGUCUCCCAGCAACUCCACUGCCUGUGCAAGACACUCAUCCGAUCAUCAACCUCUAUUGUUAACGCCUGAAAUGGUUUCU